rnacentral:rRNA from 1 species
CAGUCGCCGCGGUAAUACGAAGGGGGCUAGCGUUGUUCGGAAUUACUGGGCGUAAAGCGCACGUAGGCGGAUAUUUAAGUCAGGGGUGAAAUCCCGCAGCUCAACUGCGGAACUGCCUUUGAUACUGGGUAUCUUGAGUAUGGAAGAAGUUAGUGGAAUUGCGAGUGUAGAGGUGAAAUUCGUAGAUAUUCGCAGGAACACCAGUGGCGAAGGCGGCUAACUGGUCCAUAACUGACGCUGAGGUGCGAAAGCGUGGGGAGCAAACAGGAUUAGAUACCCCCGUAGUCCCUGUCUCUUAUAC